rnacentral:rRNA from 1 species
AGAGCGAACGCUGGCGGCAGGCCUAACACAUGCAAGUCGAGCGCCCGUAGCAAUACGGGAGCGGCAGACGGGAUAGUAACACGUGGGAACGCGCCCUUCGGUUCGGAAUAACUCAGGGAAACUUGAGCUAAUACCGGAUACGCCCUUACGGGGAAAGAUUUAUUGCCGAAGGAACGGCCCGCGUCCGAUUAGCUAGUUGGUGAGGUAAUGGCUCACCAAGGCGACGAUCGGUAGCUGGUCUGAGAGGAUGACCAGCAUCACUGGGACUGAGACACGGCCCAGACUCCUACGGGAGGCAGCAGUGGGGAAUAUUGGACAAUGGGCGCAAGCCUGAUCCAGCCAUGCCGCGUGGAUGAUGAAGGCCUUAGGGUUGUAAAGUCCUUUUAACGGGGAAGUAUAAUGACGGUACCCGUAGAAUAAGCCCGGCUAACUUCGUGCCAGCAGCCGC